rnacentral:rRNA from 1 species
UUUUUUUUGGAGGGCAAGUCUGGUGCCAGCAGCCGCGGUAAUUCCAGCUCCAAUAGCGUAUAUUAAAGUUGUUGCAGUUAAAAAGCUCGUAGUUGAACCUUGGGCCUGGCUGGCCGGUCCGCCUCACCGCGUGUACUGGUCCGGCCGGGCCUUUCCUUCUGGGGAACCUCAUGCCCUUCACUGGGCGUGCUGGGGAACCAGGACUUUUACUUUGAAAAAAUUAGAGUGUUCAAAGCAGGCCUUUGCUCGAAUACAUUAGCAUGGAAUAAUAGAAUAGGACGUGUGGUUCUAUUUUGUUGGUUUCUAGGACCGCCGUAAUGAUUAAUAGGGAUAGUCGGGGGCAUCAGUAUUCAAGCGUCAGAGGUGAAAUUCUUGGAUUGCUUGAAGACUAACUACUGCGAAAGCAUUUGCCAAGGAUGUUUUCAUUAAUCAGUGAACGAAAGUUAGGGGAUCGAAGACGAUCAGAUACCGUCGUAGUCUUAACCAUAAACUAUGCCGACUAGGGAU